AUUAGGGUGUCUGAAAAAAGUAACAAACUGUAAAUUUGUAAAUGAAAGUUAAUAUUCCCCUGAUA
rnacentral:tRNA from 1 species